UUUUUUAAAGGGUCACAGGUGUGAUAAAACGUGGGUUUUGAAUGUCGAGUUGUUUGACUGCCAGUUGGCUAGAGCCUUGUCCCUCUCUAACUGUCACAAUACAUCUUUCAACAGCAAUAGUUAGCAAUGUAGUUUGAGUUUCAAAUUUCCAUUUGUUGUGUGAUUGUUAUCAUGGAAAAUUUUUUUUUUCUUGACAUCCAUAAAAUUGGAUAUUGUGUUUGAAUGGGAAGAAAGAUUGGGGAUAUUUAAGGAGGCACACUUUACCUUGGUUAUAAGAGGAAUAAGACUGCACCUAAAUAUAUCUCUGUAGAUUGUAACCUGUUUGGGCUUUUGCUAUUAUUAGAUGUGUGUAGGUAGCUUAGGUUGUAUACUCCCCAGGGAGUUGAUACUGAAAAUAAGGUGCACACAGAGCCACUGACAGGGUAAUAAUGGUGAAGUGUUAUACUGAUGGGCAUUGAAUGUGGUGCCAUAGAAAUGUACUCAUUCUGGUUUUGUUUCUUACACAAAAAACGUUUUACAAAUCCUGUGUCUUCAAAAUGUGCACAUGUGCAUCACAUCUUCCCAACCCGUUCUGGUUCUCCCACCAUUUUCAUUGGAAAUAGGCAUUGAGCCAAGCAAUAGUGGAAAUGAGUUCAUGGGGUCAUACAUUACUUAACAUUUUAGGUUAAAGGAGAAAUGUUAUAAGCAAAUUAACCUAAAAGAGAAAUGUGUUAUAAGGAUAUUAACCUAAAGGAGAAAUCAUAUUUAGAUUAAUACACUACUCCUGGAUGAAGUAAACAUGAAAACACGGAAAAGGUUUUUAAUGUGUUCGCUUGGCAUGUCUCAGUGUGAUCUAAACCUAAAGCAUUAAUGAUGUAGCUAGAAUUUCAGUGCUUUUAGAAUGAGACUUUUUAAAAUGUAAACAAUGUCAUAUCAGAAGGCAUGUCUCAUUGCAUAAUUGUCAUAGCGAUAUUUAGAGCAUUCAGGUGAUGUUGACUUUAUACUGAUUUUUACUUUGACGCAAAUGAUGGAAUUGACCAAUUUCCAAAAGAUAAUUCUUUGAGGGCACCUGCUUUAGCCUCUCAUUUGAUUUCAGAUUACAUCUUUAUUUUGGGACAAAAUAUUUAAAAUGUUGUAUCAUCGAUUUACGUAAUUAUCAGUGUAAGGUAAUGUGUGAAUACUUUCAGUGUGCGCCAGUCUUGCUGCCAGAUAUUUUUGUUCGAAAGCACCAUGAACCAGCAUACCAAAUAAGGUGUAUUUUGUACUUGCAUAUAUUUACAUUCAAAUGUACAUAUAAUGUGAAAGCCUUUUACAAACACUCCAAGUAGGAUAGCUGUAAUGUAUGUAUGUAUAUAUACUGUGUCUCAAUGUAUUUCCAUGUAUAUGUAUCAAAAUGUUUAUAUGACAAUUUUAUAUUAAUGUCAGUGAAUGAAAUGAAAUAUAUUCCAAGCUCUUUGACUGGUCUUAUAUACAGUUGUACAAUGUAGAUAUAAUGACCUGUAUCACACUAUCCUGGUAAUAAUUUGAAAUAUUUCUCUAUAACUUAUCUGGGCCAGGGGUGAAACAAUCUCUGAUUAUGCAAACUACAAAAACUUGAAAUUUUUAAUUCAUAUACAUUUUGGCAGGUCCAAUUUUUUAUUUGUGACAUGAUACUUGUGAGAAAUAUUUUCAAAAUUGUAAGUAAAUUGAUUUGUCAAGUUUUAUAUGAUAUUUUUGUUUCUACUUAGAUGUCGUUACCCACACCACUGAUGAUUGCUGUAACAGCCAUUGCCUUUAUACUUCUUUUAAAAUUUUGUUUCAUUCAAGUAUUUAUCACUUUGUUUUAUCAUUUCCCUGUCGAAAUAGUGUAACACUUUAGUUAUCUGCAUAUUGGCAUUUUUAUGUUUCAGCAUUUAUCAUACAUUAGCCAAAAGUAGUCAGCCUUUUGAUGUUCUGAAGUGCUGACUUUGGAAUGUAGACUGAUAAAUCAUAUUCACUAAAACAAGCCAACCCCGAAAUAUUUAACAGCCUUGAGCCUGUAUUUGCGAUAGCUUCUCUAUAUUACACAAAUAUCUGAACGGAUUGAACGUCUGGAGGGCAGGUGUAGAUAUUUCAUCAUCUGAAUGUAUCAGCUGUUUUUGUAAAUGAGGAUGCACAAUAGAUCUCUUGUAUCAAGGCCACAUGUUAAAAGCUUGGUCGUCAGCCCAAAAUUAUCAUAAAUUAGACAAUAAGGAGUAUUGUCUGUAAAUUUAGAGGGAUGAUUCGUACAACAAAAUAUAGGGAGAUAACUGCAACAGGAAGCCUUCUUUGUUUAUAAAUAGUACAGGCUGGAUUUUCUUGUGUGCUUUUUGAUUAACAUGCUUCAUUCACUAUGCAAUUGCUAUGGGGCAGUUGACUUUCAAGUUUACAAAACUGUAAGAGUUAUCUCCCUUUAGAGAGUAGCCAGUGCACUUCAUCAUCAGUCACGGUGUGUUUGAACUGAAAGAUUCUGUAAGCUUUAUGGUUGAUUGGGCACAUUGAACAAAUUAUAUGAUAAAAUAAAAAAUAUUUUGUCUUU
rnacentral:lncRNA from 1 species